rnacentral:rRNA from 1 species
UACGUAGGGGGCGAGCGUUAUCCGGAUUCAUUGGGCGUAAAGCGCGCGUAGGCGGCCGCCUAAGCGGGACCUCUAACCCCGGGGCUCAACCCCGGGCCGGGUCCCGGACUGGGCGGCUCGAGUGCGGUAGAGGAGAGCGGAAUUCCCGGUGUAGCGGUGGAAUGCGUAGAUAUAUGGAGGAACACCGGUGGCGAAAGCGGCUCUCUGGUCUGUAACUGACGCUGAGGCUCGAAAGCGUGGGUAGCGAACAGG